rnacentral:rRNA from 1 species
GCUGGUGUCUAUAGCAGCGAGGCCACACCUGUUCCCAUUCCGAACACAGAAGUUAAGCUCGCUUGCGGCGAUGGUAUUGCAGGGCUGUCCCUGUGGGAGAGUAGCACGACGCCAGCU